AGCAGCUGCUGCUGAUCCGGAUCAAAAGCGAGGCUGAAUACCUGUUUCUCCAUUCUACACUCCCUCCGGGAACCUGGAAGCUCAGCAGGAGAUGAAGUGGCUGGAGGCGUGUGAGUCCUGCACUUGAUAGAGGCGGAUUCUGUCAAGCCUUACCUGGAUGGUGUGUGUGACUAUCCCCAUAGAAACGAGCAGGCUGUCUCAUGAAGCCUCCAUUCUAGCCUUUUGUGAUCACCUGUGAUCUUAGAGGGCUCCUCUACAACCCCGAGUCCCAAAUAGGUGACUACAAAGUGGGCUCACACUUAUUUCUCCACUAUUCCUGUGUUCUUUCAGGGGGCUGACCAUCAAACCUACUUAGAAAUCAGACCUUGAAUACGCUCUCACAUCAACACUGCAGAGUCCCCUGUGAGGAGGCCUGGAGCCGGGCUCACUCCUUCCGGGCUUCUUUCUCUGCUAAUGUGGAAAUGGGCCUAAUGAUUCAAGAAUGCACAUCUGUAGACAAAUGAGGAACUUUUUUGGAAAUGCCUUAAACUCACAGAGACAUAUUUCCAGUAGAAUGCUAACCAACACAGCAGCCCAGCAGGAAGAGUUCUGCUACAAAUGGAAGACUGAAAACUACCUGGGAGAAAUUAAAAAACAAGCAAACACAUGAACAAAAGUCCAUGCAUCAGGGGAAACAUGCCACCAUCACCUCUCGGGCGUGAACUCCUCUGCUUCACUCCGUCAGUUCCAACCCGGCUCACUCUUUGGAUUCUUAGAGCAUCAAACAGCCAGGAGCAACCCCGCCUGUGCCUGCAGACUUUGGGGCUUGUUGGUUCCUGUAUCGGGAGCGUGCUCUCCCUUCUUUCAAGUUUUUUCUCAUCACCUUCUUGGUAAGUUCCCUUCUGAUUAUGUCAUUAAGAUUACAACCCACCCUCCGCACUCCGUGGCCUGCCUUUGCUUUAUCUUUCUACUUAGUGUGAAUUGCCGCCUGAAACAUGAGGUGUUUUUUCGACUCAGUACUUACAUCCUUCUCCUCCCAAAGCUGGAAUUAAGAUCCAUGAAGGCGGGGGCUCUGUCUGUUUUGUUCAUGUUGCCCUCCCUGCACUGAGAACAGUACAGGCACAGGAAGGACUGCCAAUCAUUGUGUGUUGGGUUAAUGAAUGAAACAAUAAAUAAAUGAAUACCAAGCCAAAAUAGAAAAAUUCUUAAAAUGGUCAGUUUAAUUUUCGUUGCUUCUGCCUCACAAAUUAAGUCAGGAAAACAUGGCUACGUGUUGUCGUGGUUUUCAUAUUGCUCCCUAGAACUUUUGAAAAUGUCAAAGCUAUGAAGAUAGCAGUGGUGCUUGGGCAGUAACGGACCCUACGUGAAUUUGACAGGUUUAAUAUUUUAAAUGUUAACAGGCAAAGAUACCACCUGGAGGGUGAAAUAAUAAUUGCUAUGAUUCUCAUAUUUCAAGUUGUUUUAUUUUAUUUAUAAAAUGAAACAGUAACUUCAGUUCAGAAGACCCAUGUUUUUCUAUUUCACCAAGAUCCUUCAAAGUUCUGUUGAAAAACAACCAAUCAAAUAAAGUAUGAAUUUUUAGCAAAAGCACCCAUGUCAUUUUACAAAAUUUAUUUUAUUAGUUCAUCAGCGCAUGAGAGGUGACUGUCAUUUUGCAUAAGCUCGUUAUUACGAGUAGAAACUACUCAGCUUCAGCAUCAGAAUGGCUCUCUCAGGGACACUUAGAGCUGCGAUAUCUCAUCCUGAUGGAUUUCCAAGCACGAGCCUUGAAACAAUCAUGCAUUUCCCAGUUGCAAUUAAACUGGGUUCUCUACAGAAACUAAGGAAGAAACAGCAUUGAGGAUGUUACCUACAUGUAGGGACAUACAUUGUUCUGUACCGAAAUGAACACUAAGAGACUGGAGACCAAUUUUAGUGGCCUUAUUGCACCACUUCUUAGUUUCUUAUUUUUCGAUAUGUUAAUUAAUGGUUUUGAACUCAGUUUCCAAAACAGGGAUAUUAAGAAUUAGCCCAUGUGAAGCUCAGGGGAUGGGCUCAAAGAUUCCUUAAGGUACAGUUUACCUCUAAGUUCCCCUCAGCUUUUCAUUCUCCAGGAAGCCCUUCUUUCUCUCCUGUUGUCUGCACAUGUGUGUCAGGAUCCAUGGAGAAGACACAUGGCAGUAGGGGACCUUGUCCACCUCACAGGUUGUCCCCUGAGUCACUGGCGUUGGAGUUAUUGAGGGUCAAACAUCUGGUUCUAUUUUCUUACAAGACUUGACUAAGGGAACUGUCUUUUAGAAGGCCCAAGCUCAUUGCUUGAAACCAAAACAGUUAAAUAAGCUGAUUUAUAUGAUGUAAAUUAUUUUAUCCUCUGUAUCUUAAAGUAUAAUGUUAGAAUUGAUUUGUUGGCUGGGUGGGGUGGCAUGCCUCUGUAAUUGCAACACUUCAGGAGGUUGAGGCAGGAGGAUCAUGGGAGCCCAGGAAGUCGAGGUUGCAGGGAGCUGUGUUCAUGUCACUGCACUCCAGCCUGGGCCACAGAGUGAGACCCUGUCUCUCUCUCUCUCUCCCUCUUUCUACAUACAUAUAUGAAUUAUGUAUAUGUAAAUUAUAUAUUUGUUGAGGAAAUAAAUAAAUUCCAGUUCUCAGAAGACAGCAUUCUUUCUAAAGCAGUUUUUCUGAGGAAAUCACUUUUUCACGCAGUUGAAAUAUAGUGUUUAAUUCCUGUGCU
rnacentral:lncRNA from 1 species